rnacentral:rRNA from 1 species
UGCAGCAACGCCGCGUGCGGGAUGACGGCCUUCGGGUUGUAAACCGCUUUUAGUAAGGAAGAAGGGGCUCUUCGGGGUCUUGACGGUACUUGCAGAAAAAGGACCGGCUAACUACGUGCCAGCAGCCGCGGUAAUACGUAGGGUCCGAGCGUUGUCCGGAAUUAUUGGGCGUAAAGAGCUCGUAGGCGGUUUGUCGCGUCUGCUGUGAAAUCUAGAGGCUCAACCUCUAGCCUGCAGUGGGUACGGGCAGACUUGAGUGGUGUAGGGGAGACUGGAAUUCCUGGUGUAGCGGUGGAAUGCGCAGAUAUCAGGAGGAACACCGAUGGCGAAGGCAGGUCUCUGGGCACUUACUGACGCUGAGGAGCGAAAGCGUGGGGAGCGAACAGGAUUAGAUACCCUGGUAGUCCACGCCGUAAACGUUGGGCGCUAGAUGUGGGGACCUUUCCACGGUUUCCGUGUCGUAGCUAACGCAUUAAGCGCCCCGCCUGGGGAGUACGGCCGCAAGGCUAAAACUCAAAGGAAUUGACGGGGGCCCGCACAAGCGGCGGAGCAUGCGGAUUAAUUCGAUGCAACGCGAAGAACCUUACCAAGGCUUGACAUGACCGAGAACGCCGCAGAAAUGUGGA